UGGGGAAUUUUGGACAAUGGGCGAAAGCCUGAUCCAGCAAUGCCGCGUGUGUGAAGAAGGCCUUCGGGUUGUAAAGCACUUUUGUCCGGAAAGAAAUCCUUGGCUCUAAUACAGUCGGGGGAUGACGGUACCGGAAGAAUAAGCACCGGCUAACUACGUGCCAGCAGCCGCGGUAAUACGUAGGGUGCAAGCGUUAAUCGGAAUUACUGGGCGUAAAGCGUGCGCAGGCGGUUUGCUAAGACCGAUGUGAAAUCCCCGGGCUCAACCUGGGAACUGCAUUGGUGACUGGCAGGCUAGAGUAUGGCAGAGGGGGGUAGAAUUCCACGUGUAGCAGUGAAAUGCGUAGAGAUGUGGAGGAAUACCGAUGGCGAAGGCAGCCCCCUGGGCCAAUACUGACGCUCAUGCACGAAAGCGUGGGGAGCAAACAGGAUUAGAUACCCUGGUAGUCCACGCCCUAAACGAUGUCGACUAGUUGUUGGGGAUUCAUUUCCUUAGUAACGUAGCUAACGCGUGAAGUUGACCGCCUGGGGAGUACGGUCGCAAGAUUAAAACUCAAAGGAAUUGACGGGGUCAUAGCUG
rnacentral:rRNA from 1 species